rnacentral:rRNA from 1 species
AGCGAACGCUGGCGGCAGGCCUAAUACAUGCAAGUCGAGCGCACCUUCGGGUGAGCGGCGGACGGGUGAGUAACGCGUGGGAAUGUGCCCUUUGGUACGGAACAACUGAGGGAAACUUCAGCUAAUACCGUAUGUGCCCUUCGGGGAAAGGAUUAUCGCCAUUGGAGCAGCCCGCGUUGGAUUAGCUAGUUGGUAGGGUAAAGGCCUACCAAGGCUACGAUCCAUAGCUGGUCUGAGAGGAUGAUCAGCCACACUGGGACUGAGACACGGCCCAGACUCCUACGGGAGGCAGCAGUGGGGAAUAUUGCGCAAUGGGCGAAAGCCUGACGACGCAACGCCGCGUGGAGGAUGAAG